rnacentral:rRNA from 1 species
GAUGAACGCUAGCGACAGGCUUAACACAUGCAAGUCGAGGGGCAACGGGGUUGUAGCUUGCUAUAACUGCCGGCGACCGGCGCACGGGUGAGUAACACGUAUGCAACCUGCCCAUUGCAGGGGGAUAAGCGGAAGAAAUUCCGUCUAAUACCGCGUAAUAUGAGAUUGAGGCAUCUUAAUUUCAUUAAAGAUUUAUCGGCAACGGAUGGGCAUGCGGUGCAUUAGCUAGUUGGCGGGGUAACGGCCCACCAAGGCGACGAUGCAUAGGGGUUCUGAGAGGAAGGUCCCCCACACCUGGUACUGAGACACGGACCAG